rnacentral:rRNA from 1 species
GACGAACCGUGCGAACGUUAUUCGGAAUCACUGGGCUUAAAGGGUGCGUAGGCUGCGAGGAGGGUGGGGUGUGAAAUCCCUCGGCUUAACCGAGGAAUUGCGCUCCAAACCGCCUUGCUGGAGUGAGACAGAGGUGAGCGGAACUAAUGGUGGAGCGGUGAAAUGCGUUGAUAUCAUUAGGAACACCAGAGGCGAAGGCGGCUCACUGGGUCUCAACUGACGCUGAUGCACGAAAGCUAGGGUAGCGAACGGGAUUAGAUACCCCGGUAGUCCUAGCCGUAAACGAUGAGCACUAGACGGAGGAACUUUCCACAGUUUCUCGGUCGUAGCGAAAGUGUUAAGUGCUCCGCCUGGGGAGUAUGGUCGCAAGGCUGAA